ensembl:lncRNA
CUUCUCUUCCUGUGUAAGUUCUGGUUGUCCCCUCUCUUCCCUUCUCUUCCUGUGUAAGUUCUGGUAGUCCCCUCUCUUCCCUUCCCUUCCUGUGUAAGUUCUGGUUGUCCCCUCUCUUCCCUUCUCUUCCUGUGUAAGUUCUGUCCCUCUCUUCUCUUCCCUUCCUGUGUAAGUUCUGGUUGUCCCCUCUCUUCCCUUCCUGUGUAAGUUCUGGUUGUCCCCUCUCUUCCCUUCUCUUCCUGUGUAAGUUCUGGUAGUCCCCUCUCUUCUCUUCCCUUCCUGUAUAAGUUCUGGUAGUCCCCUCUCUUCCCUUCUCUUCCUGUGUAAGUUCUGGUAGUCCCCUCUCUUCUCUUCCCUUCCUGUGUAAGUUCUGGUAGUCCCCUCUCUUCCCUUCUCUUCCUGUGUAAGUUCUGGUAGUCCCCUCUCUUCUCUUCCCUUCCUGUGUAAGUUCUGUCCCCCUCUUCUCUUCCCUUCCUGUGUAAGUUCUGGUUGUCCCCUCUCUUCUCUUCCCUUCCUGUGUAAGUUCUGGUAGUCCCCUCUCUUCCCAUCCUGUGUAAGUUCUGGUAGUCCCCCCCUUCCUCUUCCCUUCCUGUGUAAGUUCUGGUUGUCCCCUCUCUUCCCUUCCCUUCCUGUGUAAGUUCUGGUAGUCCCCUCUCUUCCCAUCCUGUGUAAGUUCUGGUAGUCCCCUCUCUUCCCAUCCUGUGUAAGUUCUGGUAGUCCCCUCUCUUCCCUUCCCUUCCUGUGUAAGUUCUGGUAGUCCCCUCUCUUCCCUUCCCUUCCUGUGUAAGUUCUGGUAGUCCCCUCUCUUCCCUUCCCUUCCUGUGUAAGUUCUGGUAGUCCCGUCUCUUCUCUUCCCUUCCUGUGUAAGUUCUGGUAGUCCCCUCUCUUCCCUUCCCUUCCUGUGUAAGUUCUGGUAGUCCCCUCUCUUCCCUUCCUGUGUAAGUUCUGGUAGUCCCCUCUCUUCCCUUCUCUUCCCUUCCUGUGUAAGUUCUGGUUGUCCCUUCUCUUUCCUUCUCUUUCCUUCCUGUGUAAGUUCUGGUAGUCCCCUCUCUUCUCUUCCCUUCCUGUGUAAGUUAUGGUAGUCCCCUCUCUUCUCUUCCCUUCCUGUGUAAGUUAUGGUAGUCCCCUCUCUUCUCUUCCCUUCCAGUGUAAGUUCUGGUUGUCCCCUCUCUUCCCUUCCUGUGUAAGUUCUGGUUGUCCCCUCUCUUCCCUUCCUGUGUAAGUUCUGGUAGUCCCCUCUCUUCCCAUCCUGUGUAAGUUCUGGUAGUCCCCUCUCUUCCCUUCCUU